rnacentral:rRNA from 1 species
UACGGAGGGUGCGAGCGUUAAUCGGAAUUACUGGGCGUAAAGGGUGCGUAGGUGGUUUAAUAAGUUAUGUGUGAAAUCCCUGGGCUUAACCUAGGAAGGUCAGAUAAUACUGUUAGACUUGAGUAUAGGAGAGGGUAGUGGAAUUUCCGGUGUAGCGGUGAAAUGCGUAGAUAUCGGAAGGAACACCGGUGGCGAAGGCGGCUACCUGGCCUAAUACUGACACUGAGGCACGAAAGCGUGGGGAGCGAACAGG